UUAAUGGAUGGACUACAUCCCCCAGAAGGCAUAGCGAGGGCUCCAGCGCAUGCGCAGCCGCGUGGUCCGGGUCGGUAUAUAAGGCGGUGGAGCGGCCGCGUUGUCCUCUCUCUCUCUCUCCUGCCUGAAAUGGCGGCUGGAUCUGGACUUGACCUCAAGAUGUCUAACUUCCAUGUGGUCUUUGCUCCUGCCUGCAACAUUAGUUCCUCUCCACUGAUGAUCAAUAAAUGGCCUGAGUGACCAUGGUAAUCGUAGAUUCUUGACCUGAUGCAAGCAUGUUCUACAGCUUUUGAAAACCAAAGAAAGCGUGUGGUUAUUUGAUGCUGAGAAUGAAGCUGGUCAUACAGCAUGGGAAGAGGCCCUUCGGCCCAGCUCAUCCAUGCUGACUAAGGUGCCCCAGUUAAGCCUGUUUGGCUCUCACACCUCUCCUAUCCAUGCACCAGGGCUAACCAGUUGGAGCUACACAUUGAUGGUACACGCUGAUUCCCAGGAUGGAGCAAGGUCAUUCCUUGAAACUUGUAGUUGACUUGGAACACAAGUAGAGUCGACUUUAUUUGCCACAUACACAUACAAGAUGUAUACGAGCUGGAUGUCUGAAUUUUCAGAAUUAUUUUCAGUUUCCUUUUGUUGACAUCUAUGGCAUUCACUAUUAAACGAUACAUCUGGAAUGAA